GUGUGCAUGUGCGGUGUGAGGAGGUGUAGUGUGUGUGGGGUGUAUACGUGUGGGGGGUAUGUGUGUGAGGGUGGGGAGUGUAAGUGUGUGUGUGGUGUAUGUGUGUGGGAGGGUGUGGGUGCAUGUGCAGGUAGGGGUGUGUGGGGGUGCAUGUGCAGGUGGAUGCAGGUGUGCGUGUGGGGGGUGUGGGGGGGUGUAGGUGUGUGUGGGGUGUAUAUGUGUGUGGUGGGGUGUAUGUGUAUGUGUGGGGUGUGCAUGUGUGAGUGGGUGCAGGUGUGUGGGGGGUAUGUGUGUGAGGAUGGGGGGUGUAGGUGUGUGGAGUGUGCGAGGGUAUAGGUGUGGGGGGUGUAUGUGUGUGUGUGGGUGCAUGUGCGGGUGGGUGCAGGUCUGUGUGGAGAGUAUGUGUGUGUGUGUGGGGUGUAGGUGUGUGGGGUGUGAAAGGCAGGGGCAGGGCGAGCCCCCAACCAGAGCAGAUGCAGCUGAGCAUCUGCUGGUGCAGAAGGUGAUAAGAAGGGGAGGGUUGGGGUUACUGCUUGAGACCCUAUUACAGCCUAUACUCGGGCAAAUGACUGCUAGGUCCUGGGCUGCAUCCCGUAAGGCAGCAGGCUGGCAGCAGAGAGCGCCAUGAGAGGCUGUGCCCUGAACGGGCAGGUUGGAGGAACAGGAGACACUCGUGCUUCCAAUAGGAGGUGCUGACCGCACAGGGAGAGAGAGGUGUGAAGACACUAGAAUAACCUCUUCUCCAUUGGAGGCAGUGACCCCUGGUGGCCUUGGUAGAGCGGCACUUGCAGAGCUGGAAGAGAUCGGGGGGGGGGUGCGGGGGGGGCGAAUGCUGGGCUAGCAGAGGGCUGCUGGUCGGGUUUGCCAGGCACUGGAAGAGGUCAGCAGGGGCAAGGACUGGGCUAGCAGGGGGCUGUGGGUUGGGUUGCCAGGCACUGGAAGAGGUUGGGGGGGGGCAAAAGCUGGACUAGCAGAGGGCUGUGGGUUGGGUUUGCCAGGCACCGGAAGAGGGCAGCAGGGGCAAGGGCUGGGCUAGCAGGGGGCUGCGGGUUGGGUUGCCAGGCACUGGAAGAGGUCAGUGGGGGCAAGGGCAGGGCUAGCGGGGGCUGUGGGUUGGAUUUGCCAGGCACUAGCAGGCCUGGUGGUGGGAGGAAGGACCAGAAAGUGCAUUGCCUUCACAUAGAGCCCAAAUGAGGUCUGCAGGAAGCAGAGGCAGGAAAGAGAAGGUGGAUCCAUGCACCAAAUUCCUUGUUUCCGCACCCCUCAGGGAAAUCUCAGCCAGAACAACUGCAGAAGCCUUCUGGUGCUACCUCCUCCAGCCCUGCAGCUACCCCUGCAAGGCACUGAUGGCCCAAGGGCUGCCCUUUGGGUCACAGCUGC